AAAAAAAAAAAAAAGUGUUUUGAAUCAUAUUCUUUUGUUUAUUCAUUCAUUCACCCCACAAACACUGGCCCAAGCACUGCUACGUGUAAGAAGGCAGAACACUGCCUGUCUCCAUUCCAAACAUUGUCUGCCCACCCCACACCCACCAUGUCCAGCAGGCCCUCUUCCCAGAUCCUCAGGAAGCUGGGUCCACAGAGAUGAAAAGGGAAUUGCUGGUCAAAGGCUUGGCUGCGUGGGCAGUAGCGGGAGAACAGGGAGGCUGGGGUGUUGGCUCAAGGAGGUCCCUGCUCUUACAGACUUGUCAUUGUUUGCUUCCACUGAUUUGCCACCAGAUUCAUUCCCGACACACGCUCACGUCUUCCUCCCACCCAGGUCUCUGUCUUGCGCUGUGUCAUUGUCAAGGGUAACUGUGUCAAGGAGCUGAGGGCUCCCUUUGGUCACAAGGCCUGGCUGUGCCCUGACCAUGAACCCUUCCCAGCAGGUCAUCUGACUUUGAGUCUUUGGAAUUCAGGGUCCUCAUCUGUAAAAUGGGGAUAAGCGUUUCUGUCCCGAUUGUCUGGAAAGGCGGAAAGCAAAUGUGGGGAAGAGCGCUAAUGAGGUUGCCCGAGUCCCGCCAGUAAGAGCCCUGGGGGCGCGCAAGUGCAGCGGACCCUCCCCACCUGCGGGUGAUGUGGGCUGACAUGGUGACCCCAAGGGAACCUCUGUCCCUUCUCUCUAAGACGGUGUCUGUAACUUUCCAGAUCUGCAGAUGUAUGCUUUUACAGGUACCUUGCUAAAAGUCCAUCAGUAGAUGAAUGGAGAAACAAAUGUAGUCUGACACAGAGGAUGGAAAAUUUUUGGCCCUAAGAAGGAGAACUAAUAUUUGUUACAAGAUGACCCUGGAAGAAGAGGACAUUAUGCGAAGUGGAAGAAGCCAGACACAAAAGUGAGCUUGGAAGUGACCUCAGAAUCCCCCUCAGAGCGUCCAGGGCUGCGACAGCCAAUUGUAUAGAUUGGGCAUAGAUGAAACCUCUCUGCAUCCCUGCCUAGACUUCUUUUGUAGCUUCCAAAGUACCAGUGUUGUUCCCAGGGGAGACUCUGAAGGAACCAGCAUCAUCUUGAAAACCCAGAAAUGAUAAAAGUUUUAGCUGAUUGGACCUGGGAACCUCCAAGGCAGCCCUGUGGGAGCUGCAGAGGCCCUCAGGGGGCCCCAGAGGAAGACCCUGCCUGCUCAACGGGAGGGUGGCUCCAGAGUGACGCCAGGGGACCGAGUGUCAGCCGGGAAGGGACCAUAGGAAAACCCAUGAGUCAGCAGAAGCCUUGAGGCAGACAGAUGGAGAAGAUGGGGCGAGAGAAGCCGCUGCAGGGCCACACCCAAGGCACAUGGAGGGCGAAUUAGAGCUGCAACUGCCGGC